CACAGCUAGAUGGGUGAUUGGUGGCAGACUGAACAUAACAAUUUAAAAACCCCACCUCUUUUCCCAGCACGCUCUUCAAUUCAUAGCACUGUAAUGAGAGAGGCACAUUCAUUUAGACAAACAACUCUGCACAUUUUGUCCCAGCUAGCAUAAAGUGUUAAAUACAGUGGUCUGGAUGGGCAAUGCACAAAGACUUCCAAGUGCUUCUUGACAACUGGUGAAAUUAUGGCUUCACAACACUGAAUGCAAUAAAGCAAUCCUCUGAAAUGCAAGAGAAAAGGUCCAUGCUCAUGCUGUGAUCCUACAGAGCCCCAGAAUGGAGCUACACAUAAUGAGGCAAGCAGCAGAUUCUCAAUUCCUUGUCAUGAGGAAGGGAACAUUUACAACAUAAGGAAGAUCAAAGGUGCAUAGCUCUGCAUUACAAGAAAAAAACUACUCUUCUCCUAUCCAGGCUCCAAGAUGGGAAAACCAACUUCAGGAAGAAUUCUGAUUGCGGGAGGGGAAUAUAUUUACCUAAGAGAAUCAGCAAAUGUGAGAAGAGUUAAGCACCCCAUGAUGUCCUGUUGAUCUCCUGCUGCAUUCUUGUUAAUAAGCAAUAAUGUUCUUAGGAAAUUUUGCUGGUUCUCUUUAAGUAUCUUUAUUCUGCUAUUCAGCCAAAAAGGCUCCUCAGAUCAAUUUUAAAAAGUCAGUGUCUUCCCCAGAGACUUACGAUAACAAAACAUGUGACACAAAAGGAACAAAGGAUGAGGAAGGAUGAAGAAAGCCACUCAAGGGACAAAAUUCUUAAAAGUUAUGUACUAGUUCUUUUGACAACCAACUGGAACAAAAAUAACACAAGUAGAGCCAAAUCAAGCUAGUCUUUCAGCAGAGGCUAUGAAACUGGUCCUGCUUUCCAUCUGUCCCUCUUUUGCAGUCAAAUGGAGUGGACUGGGAAAAAAGAGGUUGGUUAUAUGGUGAGGAAAUUAACCUAUUUUGCUUUUCCCCAUGAAUAUUUAUUGAAACCCCUUAAUUUCAGGCUCUCACAUAUGGCAAAAACCACUGACAGCCCCAUCCUCUGGACUGUGUAUUCCUUUUUUAAAAAGUCCUAAUGCUGUUUAUUACAUGAAGUGGCAAUA